rnacentral:rRNA from 1 species
UACGUAGGGGGCAAGCGUUGUCCGGAAUUAUUGGGCGUAAAGAGCGCGUAGGCGGCCUGGUAAGUAGGGGGUGAAAUCCUGCGGCUUAACCGCAGGGCUGCCUUCUAAACUGUCAGGCUUGAGCACGGUAGAGGCAGAUGGAAUUCCCGGUGUAGCGGUGGAAUGCGUAGAGAUCGGGAAGAACAUCAGUGGCGAAGGCGGUCUGCUGGGCCGUUGCUGACGCUGAGGCGCGACAGCGUGGGGAGCAAACAGG